AGAGUUUGAUCCUGGCUCAGAUUGAACGCUGGCGGAAUGCUUUACACAUGCAAGUCGAACGGUAGAGGGGGCAACCCCUCGAGAGUGGCGAACGGGUGAGUAAUAUAUCGGAACGUGCCCAGUCGUGGGGGAUAACGUAGCGAAAGUUACGCUAAUACCGCAUACGAUCUACGGAUGAAAGCGGGGGACCGUAAGGCCUCGCGCGAUUGGAGCGGCCGAUAUCAGAUUAGGUAGUUGGUGGGGUAAAGGCUCACCAAGCCAACGAUCUGUAGCUGGUCUGAGAGGACGACCAGCCACACUGGAACUGAGACACGGUCCAGACUCCUACGGGAGGCAGCAGUGGGGAAUUUUGGACAAUGGACGCAAGUCUGAUCCAGCCAUUCCGCGUGCAGGAUGAAGGCCCUCGGGUUGUAAACUGCUUUUGUAUGGAACGAAAAGGUCUCUCUUAAUACAAGGGGCUCAUGACGGUACCGUAAGAAUAAGCACCGGCUAACUACGUGCCAGCAGCCGCGGUAAUACGUAGGGUGCAAGCGUUAAUCGGAAUUACUGGGCGUAAAGCGUGCGCAGGCGGUUAUGUAAGACAGAGGUGAAAUCCCCGGGCUCAACCUGGGAACUGCCUUUGUGACUGCAUAGCUAGAGUACGGUAGAGGGGGAUGGAAUUCCGCGUGUAGCAGUGAAAUGCGUAGAUAUGCGGAGGAACACCGAUGGCGAAGGCAAUCCCCUGGACCUGUACUGACGCUCAUGCACGAAAGCGUGGGGAGCAAACAGGAUUAGAUACCCUGGUAGUCCACGCCCUAAACGAUGUCAACUGGUUGUUGGGUCUUCACUGACUCAGUAACGAAGCUAACGCGUGAAGUUGACCGC
rnacentral:rRNA from 1 species